rnacentral:rRNA from 1 species
UACGGGGGGGGCAAGCGUUGUUCGGAAUUACUGGGCGUAAAGGGCUCGUAGGCGGCCAACUAAGUCGGACGUGAAAUCCCCAGGCUCAACCUGGGAACUGCGUCCGAUACUGGAUGGCUUGAAUUCGGGAGAGGGAUGCAGAAUUCCAGGUGUAGCGGUGAAAUGCGUAGAUAUCUGGAGGAAUACCGGUGGCGAAGGCGGCAUCCUGGACCGAGAUUGACGCUGAUGAGCGAAAGCUAGGGGGGCAAACGGG